CGCGGGAUGGAGCAGCCCGGUAGCUCGUCAGGCUCAUAACCUAAAGGUCGAAGUUUAAAAUCCUACUCCCGCAACCA
rnacentral:tRNA from 1 species